ensembl:lncRNA
GAAUGUCUUCACCUAUGGCUGUGCAAGGGCAGCUGACAAUCAGCUGCAUGAGCGAGUCUUUCCCUUUAUGCUGAGUAAGAAUUGUCCUGACAUGUUCUCCUUUCAGACCUGUAAGUUCAAGGUGCAGCGAAGUAAGGGCGGGACUGGUCGCAUAGCUCUGUGGAAACUGGGAAUCCUUAACAGCUUCACAUUAGAAACCUCCUUUUGCGGCUCAAGCAUCGGUCAACAGAAGGGAACCCAUUUCAGCAUGACAGACCUUGAGAAUUUGGGAGCUCACUUCUGUGAUACACUGCUUGACUACUGCGAUCCUGACAGGACCAAGUACAAUAUGUGUAUAAGAGAGUUGCAGGAUGCACUCAGACAAGAAACCCUCCUGGCUCUUGCCUCUUCUCAAGCAGAAGCACCACAAAGUGAUGACGGCAGCACCAGUGGAUCUAACAGCUCUGACUCUGACGGGCCUCCAGCCCACCUUAAAGCCUUAAAGGUGCACCUCUACAAACACAUGAAGAGGAAUCACUCACCCUCACUUUUAGAAUGUUAAGGUUUAUGAUAUUUGAAGCUUUAAAGGUGCACCUCUACAAACACAUGAAGUUGCGCAAAUUACAAUUGGAAAUGCAUGUACCUUAAAAUCUGUGCAGUUACACAGUCGUCACAUGAUCAGAAAUCUGAUUUAGUCCCACCUAUGGAUGAUCUGAAGAUAUGCAUUGUUGUCCUGUUUUGACUGGUAUGAGACAUAUCCAAUCUGUGCCACUUGGGAGCAAAUCAUUGGAAUUGGGUCACAUUUACCACUCAUUGCAAACGUAGCCUAGGCACCUUCUGGAAAGAUCCUUCUUUUUUAUCUUCACUCUGACCUUUGCCUAGAUGAAAAGGUCAAUCAAGUCCAAGAAGCAGAGAGACUGUUCUUGUCUAGUGAGGCAAGGAGAGGAAACCCCCGAAGAGAAAAAGGAUGGUGAUGUCAAAGGGGAGGGUGAAUAUACCUUAAAGCCUCUACGAGUUCCUCAGCAUAUGCUCCGGAGAAGAAAACGGGAUACUCCACGCGAGCCCACUGAUGCCAACACAAAGAUGUCUGUACUAUAUUUGGUCUUUGAUAAAGAGAAGGGGUCAAUGAAAUCAAAGUCAGAAUACUUGCGUCAUCUGAUGUCAGGCUACAUUAGGAGCAGGAUACAGCUGGGGCUGGGAAACAGUCUGAGUGGUUUGGACUUAGGUCCGGUUCAGGUGUGCGUCCAGCAGGAACAGAGUGAGUCCUCCAUCACUCCAUCAUCCUCCAUCACUCCAUCAUCCUCCAUGUCCUCAGGGGUGCCAAGAAAAACAAACCAUGGGAGGGGGUGCAAGUCACACACCACACCCUCCACUCUACCUGUAAUGACCAACAGACAGGGGGAAUGCAGGACAGCCCAGUGUAAGUGUGAACUGUGGCAUGCUGUGGGUAAGGACCAGGGGUCAGCCACAGACAGGAAGUCAACGCAUAUGACU